CCCUUAGAUGUUCUGGGCCGCACGCGCGCUACACUGAUGCAUUCAACGAGUCUAAAACCUGCUCUGAUAGGGGUGGGUAAUCUUUUGAAUGUGCAUCGUGAUUGGGAUAGAUGAUUGAAAUUUUUCAUCUUCAACGAGGAAUGCCUAGUAAACGCAAGUCAUCAGCUUGCAUUGAUUACGUCCCUGCCCUUUGUACACACCGCCCGUCGCUCCUACCGAUUGAAUGAUCCGAUGAAUAUCAUGGAUUGAGGAUGCAAGUAGGUUCACCUAUCUUCAUCUUCGAGAAGUGAAGUAAAACUUAUCAUUUAGAGGAAGGAGAAGUCGUAACA
rnacentral:rRNA from 1 species